UCCGGUUUGGCACCGGCAGUCCCCCCAGAGUCCUCGGCAUAACCCGUUAGCAACUGGGAGCGGGGGUUGCGCUCGUUGCGGGACUUAACCCAACAUCUCACGACACGAGCUGACGACAGCCAUGCAGCACCUGUGCACGGACUCCGAAGAGGGCCCCUGGUUUCUCAAGGGUUUCCCGUGCAUGUCAAGCCUAGGUAAGGUUCUGCGCGUUGCGUCGAAUUAAACCACAUGCUCCACCGCUUGUGCGGGCCCCCGUCAAUUCCUUUGAGUUUCAGCCUUGCGGCCGUACUCCCCAGGCGGGGCACUUAAUGCGUUAGCGCCGGCACUCAGGGGGUCGCUCCCCCAAGCACCUAGUGCCCAUCGUUUACGGCGUGGACUAC
rnacentral:misc_RNA from 1 species